rnacentral:sRNA from 1 species
GUACAACACCAGUUUCCGACUGACUGCAGGACCAGCAGCUUUCCUGCUUCCGGAUUGGCAAAGCAUGGAGAAGGUGGAUGAGGUCAGCUGAGGGCUGCAGUCAGAACACACCUGCAAAGCUUCCUGGCUACACAGAGGACAGUCUUG